CGAGUUAGUCGCUGGUGCAUCCAAGACGGUGGCGCUCAAGCAAGAAGAUUCGAUAAGAGCGGGGAACGAAACUUUCACACUCCGAAAAACAAUUAGACCCGAUCCCGAGAGAAAGCGUGCUCAAACCCUAAUUUUCAUUCUUAACCCAUCGACCUCCUCCUCCCCAAACUCGCUCCUCCUCCUCUUCACCAUCACAAUCCUUCCUCCUCCAUUCUCCGGCGGAAUCUGAAGCUCCGAGAGAGCCGAAGAAACCUAGACCCCAACAAAGUUGAAGAAAUUGAUGAAGCUCUGAAUCCUUUCGACGACAAACUCGAGCUCCCUCUCCACCUUUAGCCGCCUCCGAUGGAGAUCAACCGGCUUAUGUUCGCUGCUUCCAGCUUUGUCGAUUAACCUAACACAACCACGAUGAUGACGGCUCAGUUGCACCCUGAAUAGACGUUGCCGGCUCCGAAAUUUCCGGACUUUCGAUUCUAUUCACACUAGUCGAGACUAGGAAGAAGAAGCGGUAGUGAUGAGUUCGGCGGUGCUGAAGGAGAGAAGAAGGCCAAAUGCUCUGACUGUGUCCCUUAAUUCGAAGAUUUACAGAGUCAGCGAUAGGCUCUUCCUCUGCCUCUCCGGCCUCACCACCUAUGCUCAUACUCUGUUUCAGAGGCUUAUGUAUAAACACAAGCUUUACCAGCAGAGGGAAGAGAGGCAUUUUUGAUGGGUGUUCUGUAUAUGCUUGAGCAAUGUGAUUUAGGUCACCUGAUGGAAAAGAUUGAAUGCUGACCGAACUCGGAAUCAAAGAUGGGGCACAACUAAAGCGCCAUUUGAUCCCCAAAUCUAGAGUGAAAUCUAAGAGAAGCAAAACGAAAAGCGAAAGCAAAACCAGAGAGAGGAGAGAAAAUACUUUGGGGAAAUCUAUUAGCAUUGGAAUCAAGUCUUCAGGGAGCCAGGAUGGGCACUGAUGGUGGAUAUUGGAAGGGUACCAUUCUUAUUCCUUUAAUAAUGAACUCUCUCUCAUGUCUAUUUAUAGUUACAAAUCCUAGUGAUUCUCAAUUAUAAGCAAUUAGCAUUUCCUCCAGAUUUUGGUUCUUCAAUCUUCGAUGGCAACAAUGAUAAUUUUAUUUAGAUAAAGAAGAAGUUGGAAUUUGGUUAAAUCCCUUUAUCUGUUAUGUUUAAUGUACGACUCAAUAUGGAUGCUGAUUCUAAUAGAAACUUUGACUGUCAUGAUCCACAGCUCUUGAUUAACCCAUAUUAUGAAUUUAUAACUACAAAUAAUAGAUUGGUUGGACACUUACUUACUUUUUAAUUUUUAGCAUUUGUGGAAUGUUUAUUGAGCUACCUGACUUUAGUCAUAGAGAUGAACAACCCAUAUCUAUGAAAACAGGAAGUUGUUAGGGUGUAUGUUAGUUUUUGUCCA